GUGGUAAGCACUGCAGGGGGAGGGCUCCAGGAAGUAGCUCCCCUGUCCUCCCGCGCAAUGCUGUGUGGAGCGUUGCCAUGGUAACGCGCGGCAACGCUCCACACAGCAUCGCGCGGGAGGACAGGGGAGCUGCUUCCUGGAGCCCUCCCCCUGCCUCCCGACCCGGA
rnacentral:miRNA from 1 species